rnacentral:tRNA from 1 species
GCGCCCAUAGCUCAAUUGGAUAGAGCGUUGGCCUCCGGAGCCAAAGGUUUCGCGUUCAAAUCGCGAUGGGCGCA